rnacentral:rRNA from 1 species
UAACGCGUGGGUAACCUGCCUCAUACAGGGGGAUAACAGUUAGAAAUGACUGCUAAUACCGCAUAAGCGCACAGUGCUGCAUGGCACAGUGUGAAAAACUCCGGUGGUAUGAGAUGGACCCGCGUCUGAUUAGCUAGUUGGUGGGGUAACGGCCUACCAAGGCGACGAUCAGUAGCCGACCUGAGAGGGUGACCGGCCACAUUGGGACUGAGACACGGCCCAA